UUUUCUGUGUUUUCUCCCUCGCGCACCCGAGCAGCCGCCCGAGCUCUCUCCCUUUGCCCUAACCGCCGGCUACUCGGCGGUUCUCCAUCUUCUUCCUCUCCUCUCCUCUGCCGUUCCCCAGCCGACGCCGAGCAUCGGCCACAAGGGCUUUCUGUGCCCUAGCGUCGGCCCGCCGUCGCCGCCGCACCUUGCCCUAACCGCCGACGCCCCUCCUCACUGCCUCUGUGACGUCCGACCGUCAGCCCUAGCCACCGUCGACCACCCUGAGCCCUAGCACCGGCCGAUUCUCUGGACCGAGCAGUGCCGGCCAGCCGCUCCUCAGCCCUAGUCUCUGCCCUAGUUUCUGCCGCCGACGAGGUGAAGCCGACGCCGACCCCAAUCGUCGGAAACCUACUCUCUCAUUGUGGAGUUGCUCACCGUCACCACAGCCGGCAGGCGGCCGCCCCUUUGCCCUGGUCUCUGCCGUGGGAUUCCAAGUGCCGAGACUUCUCUGCCCUAGAUUGCCAUUUCACAGAGCAACGCUGGCACACCACAGUUGCCGGCAGAGAGACAAAGAGGGGACUCCAAAUUAGGGUUUGCUUUGUUGCGGAUUUGCUUGGUUCCAGCAUCAAAAGUAGGUUGGUUGCUAUGGAAAAUUGCUGUUGGAGAUCACCACUUCCUCCUACUUGAUUCGGUUGACUUGAGGGCUCUGAUUCGAAACGAGUAUCUCGGAGUUGGAUUGGAUCUUUCUAUUU